rnacentral:lncRNA from 1 species
GUUAAAGAACAGUCAUCCUCUCUCGCACGGAAAUCAAGACAUUGUGUUUCUGAAGCCAGACAGAAGGAAAAGUGGUUUCCAAUUAUGUGGGGGGCUCUAUAUCAACUUCACCAGCAUAUAUGGAUACUGGGGAAUAAUUGUGGGACAGUAAAGGCUGGCUGCACCAUGCAAUAAAAAUCAAUGAAGCAAGAUGCUGGUUGAUUUGUGGUUGUGGCUGAUUUACAAAGUCCUUCUCCCUGGUAAUUUACUAGAUCAAGGUAGCUUCUAUAAACCCAACCUGAAUGAAUAUGGAGUAAUACAGGAUUUGAGUUCCUGAGAUCUCCUAGACAUAAAAGAAGGAAGCAAGAAAAUAAGAGAUUAAAGACUGAGAACUAGCCUAUCAAAAAUGACACUGGAGACACGUGGCCUCUCUAUUUAUAAAAGAAGACCACUUAUAUGGGUUUCCUAUGGGCUGCCUCU